GAAGGCAAAUGAUGCUACACAAAAAUCUUAUACUACACACUGAAUAUUUUGGUGUUGAAAACAAUUCUCAUUUACUGUCUGAUGCUUUG